rnacentral:rRNA from 1 species
GCUUGUCUCAAAGAUUAAGCCAUGCAUGUCUAAGUGUAAAUAAGUCUAUACUGUGAAACUGCGAAUGGCUCAUUAAAUCAGUUAUCGUUUAUUUGAUGAUCUCUUACUACUUGGAUAACCGUAGUAAUUCUAGAGCUAAUACAUGCUAACCCUCCAACUUCUUGGAAGGAGCGUGCUUGUCUGAUUAGAACCAACCCGCGCAAGCGGUAUUUGGUGAGUCAGGACAAAAAUAUGGAUCGCAUGCCUUCGGGCGGCGACGCGUCGGUCGAGUUUCUGCCCUAUCAGCUUUCGACGGUAAAGUAUUGGUUUACCGUGGCUUUGACGGGUAACGGGGAAUUAGGGUUUGAUUCCGGAGAGGGAGCCUGAGAAAUGGCUACCACAUCUAAGGAAGGCAGCAGG